AGUAAAAGUCGUAACAAGGUUUCCGUAGGUGAACCUGCGGAAGGAUCAUUACUGGGAAUCGGGGCCGCGCGGCCGAAAGCCGCGCGCGCCUCCGCUCUACCCACCCUUUGUCAUGAGACGCGCAAGCAACUCACAUCACUUCGGUCACGGGCGCCCCCUCCAUCCGAUGGCGGGGUACCUCCCGCGGCCGGCAUUGCAAACCCACGCGGAAUUUUGAAGUCUGAUCAAACGUAAACGAAAAGCAAAACUUUCAACAACGGAUCUCUUGGUUCUGGCAACGAUGAAGAACGCAGCGAAAUGCGAUAAUUAAUGUGAAUUGCAGAAUUCAGUGAAUCAUCGAAUCUUUGAACGCACAUUGCGCCCCCUGGUAUUCCGGGGGGCACGCCUGUCCGAGCGCCAUUACACCCCCCAAGCCUGGCUUGAUGUUGGGCCAUGAUGCGCUAAUCACGCCCCAAACUUCUGGGCGCCCCCCUCCGGCCGCGAGCGUAGCAAGAAUCUCAUUCCUCGCUCCGCGUGCCCGGUGGGUGGCCGCCCUCGAAACUCAUUUUCUAAGGUUUGGCCUCGGAUCAGGCGGGGAUACCCGCUGAACUUAAGCAUAUCAAUAAGCGGAGGAAAAGAAACCAACAGGGAUUGCCCUAGUAACG
rnacentral:rRNA from 1 species